UCAAGCGAAUAAGAGCACAGGGUGGAUGCCAGGGCACCAUACGCCGAAGAAGGACGUGGCAAGCUGCGAAAAGCUACGAGGAGCCGCAAGCAGGCAUUGAUUCGUAGAUAUCCGAAUGGGGAAACCCGGCUGGAGUAAUGUCCAGUCAUCGUGAGAUGAAUCCAUAGUCUCACAGAAGGGCACCCGGGGAACUGAAACAUCUAAGUACCCGGAGGAAGAGAAAGAAACAUCGAUUUCCUGAGUAGCGGCGAGCGAAAGGGAAAGAGGCCAAACCGGAGAGCAUGCUCUCCGGGGUUGCGGGCCGGCAUAAUGGCAUUGAGGUAAGGUAGCAGAAGCGCGUUGGAAAGCGCCUCCAAAGAGGGUGAAAGACCCGUACGCGAAACCUGAAGACAGCCAGCCGGUACCAGAGUACCGCAGGACACGAGAAAUCCGGUGGGAAGCCGGGGGGACCACCCCCCAAGCCUAAAUACGAUAUGGUGACCGAUAGCGCAUAGUACCGUGAGGGAAAGGUGAAAAGAACCCCGGGAGGGGAGUGAAAGAGAACCUGAAACCCUGUGUUUACAAGCAGAGGAAGCACGAUAUAGGUGCGACCUCGUACUUUUUGUAGAACGGACCGGCGAGUUACGUUAUGUUGCGAGGUUAAGGACUGAUGGUCUGAAGCCGAAGCGAAAGCGAGUCUGAAUAGGGCGACAAGUAACAUGACGUAGACCCGAAACCGGGUGACCUAUCCAUGGCCAGGUUGAAGUGGGAGUAAAAUCCCAUGGAGGACCGAACCAGACGUCUGUUGAAAAAGGCGGGGAUGAGCUGUGGAUAGCGGAGAAAUUCCAAUCGAACCCGGAGAUAGCUGGUUCUCCUCGAAAUAGCUUUAGGGCUAGCCUCGUAUUAGAUUAUCGGAGGUAGAGCACUGAAUGGGCUAGGGGGCCCAAAGUCUACUGAACCCUAUCAAACUUCGAAUGCCGAAUAAUUGAUGUACGGGAGUCAGUCUGCGAGAGAUAAGUUCCGCGGGCAAAAGGGGAACACCCCAGACCUGCCGCUAAGGUCCCGAAGUUCACGUUAAGUGGAGAAGGAUGUGUGAUUGCACAGACAACCAGGAUGUUGGCUUAGAAGCAGCCAUACAUUUAAAGAGUGCGUAAUAGCUCACUGGUCGAGUGGUCAUGCGCCGAAGAUGUACCGGGGCUCAAACGUGACACCGAAGCGCAGGAUUUACACUAUUGUGUAAGUGGUAGAGGAGCAUUGUAUCAGGGCUGAAGCCAGAUCGUGAGGACUGGUGGACAUGAUACAAGAGAGAAUGCCGGUAUGAGUAGCGAGAGGCAUGCGAGAAACAUGCCCGUCGAAAGCCUAAGGUUUCCUGGGGAAGGUUCAUCCGCCCAGGGUCAGUCGGGACCUAAGCCGAGGACGAUAGUCGUAGGCGAUGGACAGCAGGUGGAGAUUCCUGCACCGCCAUGAGAAUGAAGCAAUGACACAGAAGGAUACCGUGAGCCGGGUGAUGGUCAACCCGGUUGUCAAACGAGGGUGGCAGUUAGUGAAGUACGGCUGUCGUGAAGCCUGAGUGAAGACGAGAGCGAAAUUAGAGUAGCGAAACACGGGAUUUCACGCUGGCGAGAAAAGUUGCUGGUAUAUUGAAAUGGCGCCCGUACCGCAAACCGACGCAGGUAGGCGAGGUGAGAAUCCUAAGACGAACGGGAGAAUCCCUGUUAAGGAACUCGGCAAAAUGACCCCGUAACUUCGGGAGAAGGGGUGCCGAUGGAGACAUCGGUCGCAGAGAAUAGGCUCAAGCGACUGUUUAGCAAAAACACAGGUAUCUGCGAAAGCGAGAGCUGACGUAUAGGUGCUGACACCUGCCCGGUGCUGGAAGGUUAAGGGGAAAUGUCAUCGCAAGAGAAGCAUAGAACCGAAGCCCCAGUAAACGGCGGCCGUAACUAUAACGGUCCUAAGGUAGCGAAAUUCCUUGUCGGGUAAGUUCCGACCCGCACGAAUGGUGUAACGACUUGAGCGCUGUCUCAACAGGGAGCCCGGUGAAAUUGAAGUAUGGGUGAAGAUGCCCAUUACCCGCGACUGGACGGAAAGACCCCGUAGAGCUUGACUGUAGCCUGAUAUUGGAUUUCGGUAACGGAUGCACAGGAUAGGUGGGAGGCUUGGAAGCGAGAACUCCGGUUUUCGUGGAGCCAACGUUGGGAUACCACUCUUCUGUUACUGAAACUCUAACAUAGCACCGUAAACCGGUGGAUGGACAGUGUCAGGUGGGCAGUUUGACUGGGGCGGUCGCCUCCGAAAGAGUAACG
rnacentral:rRNA from 1 species